CAGUAGCCACGGUAAUACAGAGGAUGCAAGCGUUAUCCGGAAUGAUUGGGCGUAAAGGGCGCGUAGGCGGCGAUCAAAGUCAGGCGUGAAAUUCCUGGGCUCAACCUGGGGGCUGCGCUUGAUACUUGGUUGCUUGAGUGGGGAAGAGGGUCGUGGAAUUCCCAGUGUAGAGGUGAAAUUCGUAGAUAUUGGGAAGAACACCGGUGGCGAAGGCGGCGACCUGGUCCUUGACUGACGCUGAGGCGCGAAAGCGUGGGGAGCAAACAGGAUUAGAUACCCGUGUAGUCCCUGUCUCUUAUAC
rnacentral:rRNA from 1 species